rnacentral:rRNA from 1 species
UACGUAGGGGGCUAGCGUUGCUCGGAAUUACUGGGCGUAAAGGGUGCGUAGGCGGCUCUUUAAGUCGGGGGUGAAAUCCUGGAGCUCAACUCCAGAACUGCCUUUGAUACUGGAGAUCUUGAGUUCGGGAGAGGGGAGUGGAACUGCGAGUGUAGAGGUGAAAUUCGUAGAUAUUCGCAAGAACACCAGUGGCGAAGGCGGCUCACUGGCCCGAUACUGACGCUGAGGCACGAAAGCGUGGGGAGCAAACAGG